rnacentral:lncRNA from 1 species
GUGUAUAUGUACUCUAUGGAACAAAGAGACUUUGAUGCUGAACUGAAAUAUAUAUAUGAAGUUGGCAGGCAGCAUGGUUAUAGAAAGGAUUUUUUAAAAAAACAUAUCUAAAUGAAGCCGCAUCAAACAGUAGUUCAAAACUCACCCAAUCUGCAUAGCACGAACACAGAGGAAGUGCAGAGCCAGAAAUACAUACCAGUACCGAACCCGAUGACAAAACUCAGCUCACUAAAGAACAUUAUCAGGAAGGUGAAGAAGGGACCAGCCAGUUAUAGCACAAUGACGAUUUUUAAUAAAAUAAAUGAGAAGCAGAGAAAAACUGAAUAUCAGAGUUCAGGUGUAUACAAGAUUCCAGCAAAGGUAUUAGACUCCCAGUAAAGCACCGCCUAUAUAGGGGUCACCAAUAGAAUGUUGCAAGAAAGAAUCAAUGAGCACAAGAAAGAUAUUGCUGCUGGGAACCUCAAUAUGGUC